rnacentral:rRNA from 1 species
GACGAACGCUGGCGGCGUGCUUAACACAUGCAAGUCGAACGGAAAGGCCUGCUUUCCCUUGUGGAUUGCGGGUACUCGAGUGGCGAACGGGUGAGUAACACGUGAGUGAUCUGCCCCCAACUUGGGUAUAAGCCUGGGAAACUGGGUCUAAUUCCCGAUAGGACUGCAGGGUGGUGCCUGUGGUUGAAAACGAUUUUCUAGUGGUUGGGGAUGAGCUCGCGGCCUAUCAGCUUGUUGGUGGGGUAAUGGCCUACCAAGGCGGCGACGGGUAGCCGGCCUGAGAGGGUGGACGGCCACAUUGGGACUGAGAUACGGCCCAGACGCGGACGGGAGGCAGCAGUGGGGAAUAGUGCACAAUGUGCGGAAGCCUGAGGCAGCGACGCCGCGUGGGGGAGGACGGCCUUCGGGUUGUAAACUCCUUUCGACCGCGAGGAAGCCAGCUGGUGGGAAGGGUGGUGACGGUAGUGGUAGAAGAAGCACCGGCUAACUACGU